rnacentral:pre_miRNA from 1 species
UUAUUACUCCCUCCGUCCAAUAAAAAAUGUCUAAGUUUGUUAAAAUUUGGAUGUAUCUAGACAUGACUUAUUGUAUAGAUACAUUUAAAUUUAGUCAAAAUUGAGAUAUACUUUGUUGGAGCGAGUGAGUAUAUG